rnacentral:rRNA from 1 species
CGGGGAUGAUUGUUCUGUGACUGAGUGGCGGACGGGUGAGUAACGCGUGGAUAACCUGCCUCACACAGGGGGAUAACAGUUGGAAACGACUGCUAAUACCGCAUAAGCGCACAGCACCGCAUGGUGCAGUGUGAAAAACUCCGGUGGUGUGAGAUGGAUCCGCGUCUGAUUAGCUUGUUGGCGGGGUAACGGCCCACCAAGGCGACGAUCAGUAGCCGGCCUGAGAGGGCGACCGGCCACAUUGGGACUGAGACACGGCCCAGACUCCUACGGGAGGCAGCAGUGGGGAAUAUUGCACAAUGGGGGAAACCCUGAUGCAGCGACGCCGCGUGAGCGAUGAAGUAUUUCGGUAUGUAAAGCUCUAUCAGCAGGGAAGAUAAUGACGGUACCUGACUAAGAAGCUCCGGCUAAAUACGUGCCAGCAGCCGCGGUAAUACGUAUGGAGCAAGCGUUAUCCGGAUUUACUGGGUGUAAAGGGAGCGUAGGCGGUCCUGCAAGUCUGAUGUGAAAGGCCGGGGCUCAACCCCGGGACUGCAUUGGAAACUGUAGGACUAGAGUGUCGGAGGGGUAAGUGGAAUUCCUAGUGUAGCGGUGAAAUGCGCAGAUAUUAGGAGGAACACCAGUGGCGAAGGCGGCUUAUUGGAC